rnacentral:rRNA from 1 species
UGCUCCUUUGACGUUAGCGGCGGACGGGUGAGUAACACGUGGGUAACCUACCUAUAAGACUGGGAUGACUUCAGGAAACCGGAGCUCAUACCGGAUAAUAUCUCGAACCGCAAGGUUCGAUAGUGAAAGAUGGUUUUGCUAUCACUUAUAGAUGGACCCGCGCCGUAUUAGCUAGUUGGUAAGGUAACGGCUUACCAAGGCGACGAUACGUAGCCGACCUGAGAGGGUGAUCGGCCACACUGGAACUGAGACACGGUCCAGACUCCUACGGGAGGCAGCAGUAGGGAAUCUUCCGCAAUGGGCGAAAGCCUGACGGAGCAACGCCCCGUGAGUGAUGAAGGUCUUCGGAUCGUAAAACUCUGUUAUUAGGGAAGAACAUACGUGUAAGUAACUAUGCACGUCUUGACGGUACCUAAUCAGAAAGCCACGGCUAACUACGUGCCAGCAGCCGCGGUAAUACGUAGGUGGCAAGCGUUAUCCGGAAUUAUUGGGCGUAAAGCGCGCGUAGGCCGUUUUUUAAGUCUGAUGUGAAAGCCCACGGCUCAACCGUGGAGGGUCAUUGGAAACUGGAAAACUUGAGUGCAGAAGAGGAAAGUGGAAUUCCAUGUGUAGCGGUGAAAUGCGCAGAGAUAUGGAGGAACACCAGUGGCGAAGGCGACUUUCUGGUCUGUAACUGACGCUGAUGUGCGAAAGCGUGGGGAUCAAACAGGAUUAGAUACCCUGGUAGUCCACGCCGUAAACGAUGAGUGCUAAGUGUUUAGGGGGGUUUCCGC